rnacentral:rRNA from 1 species
GUCUUUUUGGUAUUUAAUAUAAAGUCUAGCCUGCCCACUGAAUAUAUUUUAAAGGGCCGCAGUAUUUUGACUGUGCAAAGGUAGCAUAAUCAUUAGUCUUUUAAUUGAAGGCUGGUAUGAAUGGUUGAAUAAGAUACAAGCUGUGUCAUAUAAAUUAAUAAUUGAAUUUACCUUUUUAGUCAAAAGGCUAAAAUUUAUUUAAAAGACGAGAAGACCCUAUAGAGCUUUAUAUAUUAAUUAUUUAGAUUAUUAAGAUUUUUAAAAUUUAAUUUUUGUGAUAUAUUUUGUUGGGGUGACAAUAAAAUUUAUAAAACUUUUAUUUAUAUUUUACAUUGAUUUAUGACUAUAUGAUCCAGUUUUAUUGAUUAUAAAUUUAAGUUACCUUAGGGAUAACAGCGUAAUUUUUUUUGAGAGUUCUUAUCGACAAAAAAGAUUGCGACCUCGAUGUUGGAUUAAGAGUAAUUUUGGGUGUAGAAGUUCAAAAUUUAAGUCUGUUCGACUUUUAAAUUCUUACAU